GCCAGUCUAUACAUGCAGUAAA
rnacentral:miRNA from 15 species